CCUACGGGUGGCAGCAGUGAGGAAUAUUGGUCAAUGGACGAGAGUCUGAACCAGCCAAGUAGCGUGAAGGAUGACUGCCCUAUGGGUUGUAAACUUCUUUUAUAUGGGAAUAAAACGUUCCAAGUGUGGGAUUUUGUAUGUAACAUAUGAAUAAGGAUAGGGUAACUCCGUGCCAGCAGCCGCGGUAAUACGGAGGAUCCGAGAGUUAUCCGGAUUUAUUGGGGUUAAAGGGAGCGUAGGUGGAUUGUUAAGUCAGUUGGGAAAGUUUGCGGCUCAACCGUAAAAUUGCAGUUGAAACUGGCAGUCUUGAGUACAGUAGAGGUAGGCGGAAUUCGUGGUGUAGCGGUGAAAUGCGUAGAUAUCACGAAGAACUCCGAUUGCGAAGGCGGCUCGCUGGACUGCAACUGACACUGAGGCUCGAAAGUGUGGGUAUCAAACAGGAUUAGAUACCCCUGUAGUC
rnacentral:rRNA from 1 species